rnacentral:rRNA from 1 species
AAUAAACGCUGGCGGCGUGCCUAACACAUGCAAGUCGAGCGAGAAAGCUCCUUCGGGAGUUAGUAAAGCGGCGAACGGGUGAGCAACACGUGAGAAUCUACCCUUUAGUGAAGAAUACCCUCGAGAAAUCGAGGCUAAUACUGCAUACGUCCCUUCGGGGAGAAAGAUGGCCUCUUUGCUAUCGCUAAAGGAUGAGCUUGCGUACUAUUAGCUAGUUGGCGGGGUAAAGGCCCACCAAGGCAAUGAUGGUUAACCGGCCUGAGAGGGUGUACGGUCACACUGGAACUUAGACACGGUCCAGACUCCUACGGGAGGCAGCAGUGAGGAAUCUUGCGCAAUGGGCGAAAGCCUGACGCAGCGACGCCGCGUGGAGGAUGACGGUUUUCGGAUUGUAAACUCCUGUUAAGCGGGAAGAAAGCCUUGUUUCUAAUACAAGCAAGGUAUGACGGUACCGCUAGAGAAAGCACCGGCUAACUUCGUGCCAGCAGCCCGGUAAUGCACGA